GUUUUUUUUGUCUUAAAAAUUAUUUUUAAGAAACAUAUUACUGAAAUGUGAAGAGCCAAAUUAGAGAACAAGAAAGUUUAUACGGGAAGUAAGAAAGGUGAUAUAUACAAAGAUAAGAUUCCAUCUUUGAAGUUCCAUAAAGGAUGGACAGAAAAAGGAAGGUAGGAAAGAUGCGUUGCUCUAAAUAUAAGUGAAAUGGAAAAGGAGAGACUGCCCCUGAAAAUUAUAUUAUUCCAAGAGUUCGAGAAU